CGGCGCGCGCUCCUUGUAUGGAGCCACACGCGUGAUGGAGAUCGCGCGCAGAUGGGUGGGGGGGCGUGUGGAAACUGAUCCGCCACAGACUCUCUUAACGUACUGUCAAAGCGGAGAGACACGGAAACGCCCUGUCAGUCUCCACAUCUCUGGAGAAACAUCUGAACUGAUUCAACAGGGCACAGGCUGAAGUAGCUGGAGGGACCAGAAACAUCUGAGAUUUGAUUUUGGAAGUAUAGAGGCGCUCAUGGCGCCAGCUCGGCUGCUUUAGGAGGGUCACUUCAGUGGAUUUUAGUGGGAGAAACUCGUCUGUUGUUGGAUGUCAGUCAGAAGAAUGGAUGCGUUCAGAUUGUCCGCUGCUAUUCUUCUAGUUCUGUCUUUAUUCAGCUGUGGAAGCGCUAUACAGUUUCCCGACUCCCAUCUGACCCGGAAAUGGGCGAUGCAGAUGCAGGAGGAGCUAGUGCAGUUGAUCGAUGAUGAGACCGGCAUAAAAGAGCUCCAAAAUGUAAGACCACACAUUGGUUUCAGUAAACAUUUUAUUAAUAAUUUAUGCAGUAUAUUUUGUGUACUUAUAUGCUUAAAAAAAAUACAAGCACGAGUCACAUUAGCUUGAUAAUUAGUAUAUAUCCCACCUUUAGUCUUAAGUUCUGGAAGUAUGUUGAAAUCCGGACUAAAUAAUGCAGUUUUAGAAGUUUUCCUUAAAAAUCUAUUUCCCAGUACAGAAAAUGAAUGGGUCUUCCUAUUGCAGUAGUUUUGAAGUUCUCCAUUCAUGGAUAAAAGAAAGUUGUGAUAUGAAGGUGAAGAAUUUUUAUUUUGGGUGAACUGGUACGUCAAAAGGAGCAAAACUGCAUUAGCAUCGGUGUAUCACCCAGUUUGAACAAAACCUUCUGCUGUACGUCACGCAGUUUGCCAUUCUGAAAGUGUUUGUGUCCAAUGCCAAAGACUAUUUACUGUGUGAGAAAGUCGAAGAAUUUCAUCAACCCACAAUGCCUGCUGCCAGC
rnacentral:lncRNA from 1 species